AAGAAGCAAAUUUAGUGAGCGCACACGCACACUCUUACAUAUUUAGUGCGACACAUACGAGUGUGUAGGUGAGUUUGCCUCCAUUAGAGGAAGAGUAAUGGCCGUUUCUAUUGUGGCGUGUGCUCUUAGUGCAGUUGAUCUUGCCAACAGUUUCCGUUGCCGCUGCUCAUUCCGUGAAUCGUGGUGAAAGAGAGCGGUCGAAUCUCGUCGUGGUGGCACCGUGUCAUUUAUACCCAUACACACAUACAUACAAAUGCGCAUGAAAGUGGUCGCGAUCUGCUGCAGUGGUUCAAGAUUCAUUCGUUGAUAAUAUAAAAGUUGAAUAUUUGUGUUUUUUUGGUUUGAUUUGAAAUUUUGUUAUUUUUGCAUUUGCCGCAACGCUUUGCGUCGCUUUUCUGUUGCCUGGCUUACAGCUGCAAUAUCAAUCAACAAGUGCAACUUAUUUACGAUGCUCAUACAAAGUAGCUACAUAUGUAUGGACCUGCUAGUGUGCGCAUAGUAGUUGUUAAAAAGUGAAAAAAUAAUAAGUGAGAAUAAAUACGACACAUGUACAUACAAACAUACAUACAUCAUAUAUGUAUAUAGUUGCACUCAUGCCAACGCAAUUUAGUUACUCCAUUGUAAUAGCAACUUGUGAAAAGUGUAAAAUUUUUGUGAUCGGAAUUAACUUUGCGGUAAAAAUGCACGUGUUUUUGGGUUUUUAACAGGCCACAAAAUUGAAUAAUUCCUGCCAAUGGCCGUUAAAUAGUUUAUCGAUAACCGCCG